GACGAACGCUGGCGGCGUGCCUAAUACAUGCAAGUCGAACGCAGUGGGGACGGGUGAGUAACACGUGGGUAACCUCCCCAUCAGAGGGGAUAACACUUGGAAACAGGUGCUAAACCGAUACGGGUGGAUGGACCCACUGUGCAUUAGCUAGUUUGUGCGGGAAAGGCUCACCAAGGCCACGAUGCAUAGCCGACCGGCGAGGGUGAUCGGCCACACGGGGACUGAGACACGCCCCAGAUUCCUCCGGUAGGCAGAAGGAGGGAAUCUUCGGCAAUGGACGAAAGUCUGACCGAGAAACGCCGCGUGAGUGAAGAAGGUUUUCGGAUCUUAAAACUCUGUGGUUAGAGCAGCGGUAUCUAACCAGAAAGCCACGGCUAACUACGUGCCAGCAGCCGCGGUAAUUC
rnacentral:rRNA from 1 species